rnacentral:tRNA from 1 species
GGCCUGUUGGUGAAGCGAUUCAACACAUCGCCCUCUCAAGGCGAGAUACAUGGGUUUGAAUCCCAUACAGGUCACCA